GAUGUGAUAUGGUGGCUGCAAUCCACUGCUGUGUUCACUUCACACCAGAAACUGAAAUGAUGGGGCAUGCUAGUAUCGCCAUUAACUUAUUUCUUCUUUGCAGGCAUGAAUGGAGCUAGAUGAAUUUCACUGCAAGCUGACCUGAACGUUGGCUGCCAGCCAGAGACCCAGGUCACAUCAGGCUUUCGAAUGGGACCUCUUUGCCAAGGACUGCUGUACAUGCUGCUUCCUGCAGACUUUCACAGAAGAUGGACAAACAAAUGCACCCGACUGCGUGCUUUCCUCUGUGAGGGUGCCCAGUGGUGAUGCUCAUCCCUUUGCACUUCCCAGGCUUUCUCAGAAUACUGAACAACAACUCCAACUUUGAGAGAACGAGCAUAAUGUGAAACAUUCAGUAAGAAAAGGUAGUGUAUGGAAUCACUAAAUUAAGUACCAGCUUGGCUCUGGAGGCACAAACUGUUUAUGCAAAGCAGAAUUAAUUUAUUUUAAAACCAUGCCCUUUGAAUAGGAUGCCAAACAAAUUAUCUGUGUAUGUGGGUAGGGUCCUUCCCAGUCUACGUGUGGAAACAGCAUGGUUUAUGAAGGAGCCCUGG